rnacentral:rRNA from 1 species
CCUACGGGAGACAGCAGUGAGGAAUAUUGGUCAAUGGCCGGAAGGCUGAACCAGCCAUGCCGCGUGAAGGUCAGUGCCCUAUGGGCGUUAAACUUCUUUUGUGCGGGAGCAAUAAUGGUCACGUGUGGCCAGACGAGAGUACCGUACGAAUAAGCAUCGGCUAACUCCGUGCCAGCAGCCGCGGUAAUACGGGGGAUGCAAGCGUUAUCCGGAUUUAUUGGGUUUAAAGGGUGCGUAGGCUGUGAGGUAAGUCAGCGGUGAAAUGCCCCCGCUCAACGGGGUGAAGUGCCAUUGAUACUGCCUGGCUGGAAUGCGGAUGCCGUGGGAGGAAUGUGUGGUGUAGCGGUGAAAUGCAUAGAUAUCACACAGAACACCGAUUGCGAAGGCAUCUCACGAAUCCGCGAUUGACGCUGAUGCACGAAAGCGUGGGUAUCAAACAGGAUUAGAUUCCCCUGUAGUC